ACUCCUACGGGAGGCAGCAGUUGGGAAUCUUGGACAAUGGGGGAAACCCUGAUCCAGCCAUGCCGCGUGAGUGAUGAAGGCCUUCGGGUUGUAAAACUCUUUCGACGGGGACGAUAAUGACGGUACCCGUAGAAGAAGCUCCGGCUAACUUCGUGCCAGCAGCCGCGGUAAUACGAAGGGGGCUAGCGUUGUUCGGAAUUACUGGGCGUAAAGCGCGCGCAGGUGGUCUUUCAAGUCAGUGGUGAAAGCCCGGAGCUCAACUCCGGAAAUGCCAUUGAAACUGUGAGACUUGAGGACGAGAGAGGUGAGUGGAAUUCCCAGUGUAGCGGUGAAAUGCGUAGAGAUC
rnacentral:rRNA from 1 species